AGACCAGUCCUUGACAAUCCCCAUCAAGGGACAGUGAAGCAGAACCGGGCUCGAGCUAUGGAGGUGGGCCCAUUCCCCAAGCCCUGCCCCGUGCAUGGUCGAGCGUGUGCACACGUAGGAAUUGACAGGGCCCGGUAUGUCCUUAUGUGUCUGCACACUUAACUCACCUCCAGACCCACACACACAGUGCACACGCUUGCUGGUGCCCACUGCCAUGUGCCCAAGCUGCAGUGUCACUCCACACACAUCCCGCCCAGGAACAGGUGUGUCAGUCUUGUACCUGCUGGGUCCUUCAUCACCACCGACAGCCCCUCCUGAGGGGUGUCCUGGGCACCUGGAGGAGGCACAGGACAGUCUUCCUCCUGGUCCCUGAUUACUCACAUGGACACCUUUGUCCUCCAGGGUCCCAUCAGUACGCCUUCCUCCACCUCAGGUCCCACUUGCAUUCAGCCUCUUCCAGAAGAAUCUAUGGCUACCUCCUCAUUAUGACAUUCUUUUCAUCAACAAAUAUUUAUAGGAGCCUCUUUCAGGCCAGGCACCAAGGCACAUAGACGCAUGGCCUGACCCAGGACCUCCAGAAACUCCUAGGCUUGUGGGGAGACAGACAUAGUUAUGGUAGCUGCAGGGUACAGAGAAGGCACAGGGCCAACAGACAGGAGGUCUUCCAGGAGGAGGCAGUGCCAGGGCCACGUUGGGGAAGGGGCAGCAUGUGUCCACUGAGGGUGAGUAGUGGCUACGGUCACGGAGACCGUGCUAAGACGGGCCUCCGGCAGCGUGGAAGGCCCAGAGGGCGUCCCUUCCCACUUGUGCAGGGGAAUUUAUUUCUCCCAGGAGGAGGUAGGAGGGGUUCGGUCCCACCUCGCCUAACUCCGGCCCCCACUGCCCAGCGAAUUGGAGUGGGGGUGGGCAUGGAUGGUAAUCUCCCUUUUCCUCGGGUCCUUCUCAUAGUCUCCUUUUCAGUGAGUGCCUUGGGGUAUUGUUCCGCCUUUGUAAAGAGAGGGAUCGAGUGACAAAGCAGGGUGGGUGGGCAGGCCGCCCCUGAGGCCUCUUCUCUCCCAGGCAGCAUCUGCAUGGAGGAGGGGCUGUUCCACACCCCCACCUCUGGCUUCCCAGGAGCAGCUGUUGUCAUGGUGACAGGCCUGGCAUCCCAUGGCUCCUGGGGCUUCAUUCCCACUACAGCUGCCAGAGGAAGGGCCCCCUGGACUCCUCUCCACUCUGGUGGGGGGGUGGGGGCACUAAAACCCUGGCUCCUAGGCCAGCCCUGGCAAUGGGAAGGCUCCUGCAUUCUCAGCCUCCCAGUUGGGCCUCCAGCACAGGGAGCAGCUCUGGAGCCCCCAGACUGUGAUGUGGGGGCUCAGGCCACACUCCACUACCAUCCAUGGGGCAAGAUGCAGCAAGAAUAAAAAUGUCCCCAGGGUCCUUGAGCAGCUGCUGGCGUUGGGGCAGAGGGAGGGGACAGAGAGAAGGCUAACAGUACCGAGUGUACAAAGGAGGGGACAGUGGAUGGGCAAGGACUCUGGGCCCACACAGCAGCACUUCCAGCCCCAGCCAGUUGAGCUGGGGGACUGCCCCCUAAGAGGGGACACUGGAAGUGGUGUGUCCCACAGAGCAGAAGGGCCUUCUGGGCUGGGGAGGCUGGAGGCGUGACGUGGCGUGGCGUGGGUUUACAAAGAGUUGGCAGACACUGUUUCUGUGCUACCUCUCUGGAAAGUUCAGGCUCAGGCGGGCCGAGUGUGUUUUUCAUGCUGGGCACAGGGCUGGCUGCAUCUGCAUGGAGUCCCGGCCUCUAGGGUCCCCUUAGAGAGUGAGAGGCUGGGGCGCUGCUGCACCGAGCAUCUCCUCUUGCUUCUGCUCUCCCCGCUCCAGCACAGCUCCGAGAGGAGGGGAGCUCUCAUUACACUCACUGCCCUGAUUCCUUGCUGAGCCCCAUCCCAUACCGGGCGCUACUCCAGGGCCAGCUGUGGUGACAGGCAGCCUCAUGGAGAGGAAGAGCCUGAAUGCCAGUCCUGACCCUGGUGAGCUGUAAUCCCAGGCACAUACCUUGAGUUUUCUGAGUCUCAGUCUCUCAUUUAUAAAAUGGUCAGAGAAUUCCUCGCAGGGCUGUUAAGAGAGUUAAAAAGGUCACAGUGUGCCAUGUAAGGUGAGCCCUCUUGACUUACCCUAUGUCCUCAACCAGUCUUCUAGCCCCCUGGCAGUGCAGGUCACUCCCCAGGUCCUUCAUCCACUAAACAUCCCUGAGCAGCUGCGAGGGCUGGACCUACGCUGAGUGUGCACGUGGAAUCUGAGUCCGAGUCUUCCAGCAGGCUGAGCCGUACCCCUAGGACUGGUUCCAUCUGUACAAAAAGGAGGACAGUCCUCCCCGCUCCCUGCGGUCUAGGUGCUGCCCAUGCCGUGGAAGCAGGGGUGAUGUCUCUGCGGAAGCCCACCUGGGACAGGGAGAAGGUGCCAUUCCUGGAUUGUGGAGAAGUGUGCAGCGUGCCGGGUAAGCAGCACAUGAACAGCAAAUGAAUUGUUCAUUUUACAGGAUUAGCUGCCUGUUUUACCCGAUAGGAAACUGAGGCUCAGCACAAAGAGCCCAAAGUCACAUACAGCUGCUGAAGAGGCAGAGGCUGCGCUUAUGUUGUCCCAUAGUCUAUGGUCAAGGGGUCCCACAUGGCAGGGGGUGGGGGGACCCGAAACAGGGGCAGGGAACUCUACGGGCUGACUGGUAAGGUGUGGGGAGAGGUUGGACAGCAACAGAAAGGGAAGAAUCGAGUUUGAGGUGUGAGCUGGCAGACGAGGUUACUCUUAGACCCAGCUCCACUGGCCCACACCCUGGUGGUGCCCCAGCACAGCUGUGAGGCGCGGCGCCUUUAAAGCCUAGCUGGGGGUGUGUCCGGCGCAUGGAGGGCCCGCCCCUGGGCGUGUCCGUCGGGCGCCCCACCCAGAGGCUUGUAGCCGCGGCCCCGGGAGGCGGCGCCCGCUCUGGCUCAGCGGCCGCUGGAGUGGCGGUGGCGGCGGCGGUGGUGGCUCGUCACCUCCUCUCUUUUGGGUGGCUUCCCCGCGCGCUGCCCUGGGUGCCUGGCGACACCUGGACACAGGCGGCCAGCUGGGCUAUGGCCCCUGUUCCACACCGUGGCGGGUGGGCACGGGGGCGCCGGACGGCGCGGCCCGAGUGAGGCGGGGCCGCCCUCCCGCCCUCGACCGGGGCCACCCGGGAUGGCCGUGCCGCCGCUCCGCCGGGCGCUGCUGCUGUGGCAGCUGCUGGCGGCAGCGGGCGGCGCAGCGCUGGAGAUCGGCCGCUUCGACCCAGAGCGCGGGCGCGGUCCCGCGCCGUGCCAGGCGGUGGAGAUUCCCAUGUGCCGCGGCAUCGGCUACAACCUGACCCGCAUGCCCAACCUGCUGGGCCACACGUCGCAGGGCGAGGCGGCCGCCGAGCUGGCCGAGUUCGCGCCGCUUGUACAGUACGGCUGCCACAGCCACCUGCGCUUCUUCCUGUGCUCGCUCUACGCGCCCAUGUGCACAGACCAGGUCUCGACGCCUAUCCCCGCCUGCCGGCCCAUGUGCGAGCAGGCGCGCCAGCGCUGCGCGCCUAUCAUGGAGCAGUUCAACUUUGGCUGGCCAGACUCUCUUGACUGUGCCCGGCUGCCCACCCGCAACGACCCGCACGCCCUCUGCAUGGAGGCGCCUGAGAAUGCCACGGCCGGCCCCGCCGAGCCCCACAAGGGGCUGGGCAUGUUGCCCGUGGCACCACGACCCGCGCGGCCCCCCGGAGAUGCUGCCCCGGGCCCUGGUGGUGGCACCUGUGAGAACCCGGAGAAGUUCCAGUAUGUGGAGAAAAGCCGCUCAUGCGCGCCGCGCUGCGGGCCUGGCAUCGAGGUGUUCUGGUCACGGCGCGACAAGGACUUCGCGCUCGUCUGGAUGGCAGUGUGGUCGGCCUUGUGCUUCUUCUCCACUGCCUUCACUGUGCUCACCUUUCUGCUGGAGCCUCACCGCUUCCAGUACCCGGAGCGCCCCAUCAUCUUCCUCUCCAUGUGCUACAACGUCUACUCGCUAGCCUUCCUCAUCCGGGCGGUGGCCGGGGCCCAGAGCGUGGCCUGCGACCAGGAGGCAGGUGCCCUCUACGUGAUCCAGGAGGGCCUGGAGAACACCGGCUGCACCCUCGUCUUCCUGCUGCUCUACUACUUUGGCAUGGCCAGUUCACUGUGGUGGGUGGUGCUGACUCUCACCUGGUUCCUGGCGGCCAGCAAGAAAUGGGGCCACGAGGCCAUCGAGGCGCAUGGCAGCUACUUCCACAUGGUGGCCUGGGGCCUGCCUGCGCUCAAGACCAUUGUUAUCCUGACCCUGCGCAAGGUGGCAGGGGAUGAGCUGACUGGGCUCUGUUACGUGGCCAACAUGGAUGCAGCCGCGCUCACAGGCUUCGUGCUGGUGCCCCUCUCCUGCUAUCUGGUACUGGGCACCAGCUUCCUCCUGACCGGCUUCGUGGCCCUCUUCCACAUCCGCAAGAUCAUGAAGACCGGGGGCACCAACACAGAGAAGCUGGAGAAGCUCAUGGUGAAGAUCGGGGUCUUCUCCAUCCUCUACACAGUGCCCGCCACCUGCGUCAUUGUGUGCUACGUCUAUGAACGGCUCAACAUGGACUUCUGGCGCCUGCAGGCCACAGAGCAGCCCUGCUCAGCAGCCACCAUGCCCGGGGGUCGGAGGGACUGCUCGCUGCAGGAUGGCUCGGUGCCCACUGUGGCUGUCUUUAUGCUCAAAAUCUUCAUGUCACUGGUGGUGGGCAUCACCAGCGGCGUCUGGGUAUGGAGCUCCAAGACUUUCCAGACCUGGCAGAGUCUGUGCCACCGCAAGAUGGCAGCUGGCAGGGCCCGGGCAAAGGCCUGCCGGGCCUCCGGGGGCUAUGGCCGUGGCACCCACUGCCACUAUAAGGCCCCCACUGUGGUCUUGCACAUGACUAAGACGGACCCUUCUCUGGAGAACCCCACACACCUCUAGGGACACAGGCCUGCGUGGGGCGGCUGUUGCCCCCUCCUAGCCCCCCUCCGGAGGAGACAGCUGACUAGCAGCUGCCCAGCUGUCAAGGUCAAGCAAAAAAGGGAAGUGUUGGAAGGGUUGGCUGGCUCCAGAUCACACAACCCAGGGAGACUAUGGCCUCCAGAGCUUCUGUGACGUCACCACACCACGGAUUCGCCGGGGCCUGGGGUGAGAUGGGCACGGUGGGUGUUACGAUCUAGGGCGUUCUGUCCUGUCCCCCAGUGGGACCUCUCCCCACCCACCAACAGGGAGCCCAGAGCCCAGUACAGACGCCUCCAAAGCCAGCCCCCGCUGACCUCUGCACUGUGUGCCCCGGGAGCCCAGCACAGGGCCCUCAGAGCAGCGCACUGAGCUGGGGUCCAGCAGCCAAGCCCGUCCGCGAGUGCCGAGCCUGAGCUUGUUCUAGGGGGAACUUCUGAACCGUGACCCUUGAGUCUCAUUUCUAGGGAAAAAAUUGAAAGUUCGGAGUCAGCAAGGGUGACCCUGACUGAGGCCAGAUUGAGAGGCGCUGGGGGGUCAAGUAGCUGCCCACACGCCCCACUCUCGGUCCCACCCUGCAGGACCUCCAGGAUGGUCGUAGGUGGGAAGAGGCCUGGAGGCCCCGGGUGGUCAUGAAGAGCAGCCUCCUCUUUCCCCUGGUUGAGAGCCUCACUCGGUGCCCGCCUGAGGGGACCCUGGCUCUCGGGCGAGGUGGAGACAUGGUUCCCGUGUGGAAGCAGCACUGCCUGAGCAGCUGCUUUGGAAUCCAGUCACCACCUCAUGGCCACCUGACUGUGCCCUCUCCCCAGGGCCGGGUUCGAGGAGGAGGAAGAGUAAGGCAGGAUGAGGGCGAGGUCUCCGGUGACUGUCAGGGUAAAGGCUCAGAUCCUUGUCCUCAAGAAGAAAGUCCCUGUCUCCGUAUGCAGCAGUCAACCAAAAUUUGGUGUCUCCCCAAGGUCACACCUUGCUAGGGAGGAAUGGGCUGGGAUGGUUUAAUAGGACCAGAUACAGACCCUAGGUGAGGUGACAAGGCCCCGAGGGCACUCUCCUCAUGUUGCCUAAGAAACUCACCCUAGGAACUGGACUUAGCAGAAGUGGGUGGGCUGGGAGCCCCAAGUUCAACCAUGAUUGUGUAGAAAACGCUCAGCAGUAGCCCUCUGGAGCUUGAGGGCAGGUCACGUUCAACUUGACCUUGGGGCAAACCACUUUCUCGCCUGCAGAACUGAAAACCCCUGAGUGCUCGGGCACAGAGCUGGCUUGAAGCCCAGGCUCACCAAGGCCACAGUGGGAGUCAGUGGCAAAACCCGCACCCAGGGCUUAGGUUUCUCCUCAGAUUUCUUCCCAUUUUCCCUGUGCCAUCCUGAUGCAGCUGGUCAGGAAUGGGCGGUGUCACUUCUCAGUAAACGGGAUCAGACAGGGGGCUCUGCAAAACCACGGAACUCCACAGGCAGGUCGCCACCCCAGCAGUGACCUCCUCAAAACAACCACUCUGACUUUAUAAAACCUCCCAGCAUAAAAAAUAAAUGAAGGCAAUGAACAUUG